UGGGGAAUAUUGCACAAUGGGCGCAAGCCUGAUGCAGCCAUGCCGCGUGUAUGAAGAAGGCCUUCGGGUUGUAAAGUACUUUCAGCGGGGAGGAAGGGAGUAAAGUUAAUACCUUUGCUCAUUGACGUUACCCGCAGAAGAAGCACCGGCUAACUCCGUGCCAGCAGCCGCGGUAAUACGGAGGGUGCAAGCGUUAAUCGGAAUUACUGGGCGUAAAGCGCACGCAGGCGGUCUGUCAAGUCGGAUGUGAAAUCCCCGGGCUCAACCUGGGAACUGCAUUCGAAACUGGCAGGCUAGAGUCGUGUAGAGGGGGGUAGAAUUCCAGGUGUAGCGGUGAAAUGCGUAGAGAUCUGGAGGAAUACCGGUGGCGAAGGCGGCCCCCUGGACAAAGACUGACGCUCAGGUGCGAAAGCGUGGGGAGCAAACAGG
rnacentral:rRNA from 1 species